ACUAGUAUGUUUACAUGCAUGGCAUAUCAGAGAAUUCUGUCAGUUCGGUCGCGGUGCAACGAAUGAAUAAAGAUCGUUAGCACUCUGAAAAACAGAUGACAGAUGUGCCCUUAGUUACUACUUUAUUACCUCGUUGAUGACCAACGUUUAGGAAAACAUGUACUUUUAAUUCACCCUUGGGUGAAAUCAAAGCGUAGUGUGUACUGAAUGCGUGUUGAUGAUGAUGCAUAUGAAUUGCAACUUACACGUCUUCCAAACCUUUUCAGUACCCUGGCACAUGCUUUGUCCAAUGGACCAUGGAAGGGACUUUACUUGGCUGACGAGGACGCACCUCACCAGUAUCAGAGCAACAGCUGUGGGGUGUUUAUGCUGAUGGUGAGAUGCAUUAUUUUCAGAAAUGAUGACUGAUGACUAGUUUGUAAAACAACUAACUCAUUUGUAUGUUAAUUUCAGUACGCAAUGUAUUCUACCCUCAAAAGCAAUAUGAUUUCAGUGAGGGGGACAUGCUCUCUAUCAGGAGGUGGUGGUUGGACAGCUGUUGGAGACCUUUAUGCUUGAAAGCCCUGCAGGACUAGCUGGCACACCAAGCUCACCCUCUCCAUCUCCCCAUCUCAGCCACACGCUCCAAUCUGGCACAACAGAGGACAGGCCAUUCUUACCACCCGAAGUCCUUCAGCAAAUUGUACAAGAGACGCUGAGACUGGACAUGGCGAUGCUUGGCGUGUUCAACAGGGUUUCAAACACAUUCCGAGAACUAAUCAAGCCUCUCCAUCCUUCCAUAUAUAUAAAUGACAGUUUGGCAGGGGACAUUAAGCUUAAUAAAGACAAUCUCAUAUACAUAACGGUUAGAAAGAUUUACAACAAUGCAGGCUGUGGCAGUGGCCUUGCGCUACGCCUCAAAGGCUUCUCAAAAAAGAAGAAUUGGCCAAGCGCACCCCUGGUACUGAGGAACGUUGCAUAUGGCAGGUUUGUCAUAAAAGAUGUCUGCCUAGCAUAAUGUUAUUUUAUUACUCCUUUUUCGUUUUAUUUGGGACGUCUUUUUUUGCAAUCCCUUCCAUUUGUAAAUGUACAUACUACUGUAGUAAAUGUAUCUGCCCAGAAA